rnacentral:rRNA from 1 species
AUUGAACGCUGGCGGCAUGCCUUACACAUGCAAGUCGAACGGCAGCACGGGUGCUUGCACCUGGUGGCGAGUGGCGAACGGGUGAGUAAUACAUCGGAACGUACCUUAUCGUGGGGGAUAACGCAGCGAAAGCUGUGCUAAUACCGCAUACGCCCUGAGGGGGAAAGCGGGGGAUCGCAAGACCUCGCGCGAUUAGAGCGGCCGAUGCCUGAUUAGCUAGUUGGUGGGGUAAAAGCCCACCAAGGCGACGAUCAGUAGCUGGUCUGAGAGGACGAUCAGCCACACUGGGACUGAGACACGGCCCAGACUCCUACGGGAGGCAGCAGUGGGGAAUUUUGGACGAUUGGGGCAACCCUGAUCCAGCAAUGCCGCGUGAGUGAAGAAGGCCUUCGGGUUGUAAAGCUCUUUUGUCAGGGAAGAAACACCGGCUCUAACACAGUCCGGGAAUGACGGUACCUGAAGAAUAAGCACCGGCUAACUACGUGCCAGCAGCCGCCGUAA